GACAGAGACGUGAAGACACUGGAUGUCCUGAGGGGUGCAGCUGCCGCUAGGCUCUGAAGGUGGACAGGGAGCUUUAACCACAGCCAUGCGGGUAAACACCGACUGUAUAGGAAAAGCAUCGUAGAUGAAGAGGGUAAACACAGCAUCAGUGAAGUACAGUAACUGGACUCUGGCAUCAGUGGAUCAGAAGCUAAAGGGGACCUAUUAUGCAAAAUUCACUUUUUUAUGUUUUUUA